rnacentral:rRNA from 1 species
AGGUGCUGCAUGGCCGUCGUCAGCUCGUGUCGUGAGAUGUUUGGUUAAGUCCAGCAACGAGCGCAACCCCUGUUGCCAGUUACCAGCACGUGAAGGUGGGGACUCUGGCGAGACUGCCCAGAUCAACUGGGAGGAAGGUGGGGACGACGUCAGGUCAGUAUGGCCCUUAUGCCCAGGGCUGCACACGUACUACAAUGCCCAGUACAGAGGGGGCCGAAGCCGCGAGGCGGAGGAAACCCUAAAAACUGGGCCCAGUUCGGACUGUAGGCUGCAACCCGCCUACACGAAGCCGGAAUCGCUAGUAAUGGCGCAUCAGCUACGGCGCCGUGAAUACGUUCCCGGGUCUUGUACACACCGCCCGUCACAUCAUGGAAGCCGGUCGCACCCGAAGUAUCUGAAGCCAACCGCAAGGAGGCAGGGUCCUAAGGUGAGACUGGUAACUGGGAUGAAGUCGUAACAAGGUAGCCGUAGGGGAACCUGCGGUUGGAUCACCUC